rnacentral:SRP_RNA from 1 species
GCUGGGCAUGGUGGUGCGUGCCUGUAAUCCCAGCUACUCAGGAGGCUGAGGCAGGAGAAUUGCUUGAGCCUGGAAAACAGAGGUUGUGGUGAGCCAAGAUUGCACCACUGCACUCCGGUCUGGGCAACAGAGUGAGACCCUGUCUCAA